CUGGGUUCAGUGAAAUGUGAACGGAAUAAGAUUAGAUAUAAUUAAAAUUAAAAUGUACAAAAUAAUGUAGGAUUUUUCUUCCUGGUUUAUAUAGGACAAAUUUUGUUAGGAAACUUUGUGCUUCAUAAAAAGAAUCUAGAAGACGAAAGACGACAAAAAUUAGUAUGAAUUGGAUUUGUCAAAGAAUGGUGAAUUAACUCGGGGUAACUAUAUAUUCAGUCAGUGUCAAUUAAGUAAUUCUAUUUAAGUUUUAUUCAAAUGGGUAAUUACACUUUAAUAUAAUCUCAAUCGAGUAUCUCGAUUCAAUUUCAUCACUUUGAUUGACGAGAGUUGACGACCAAGUAGUCCUUUAGUUUAUUAAAUUGUACUUUUUUCGCUUUAACUAUUAAUUGUUAUGUGUGAUGUCAUCAUUUAUUGACUGUUCUGCUAUUAAUUGUCGAUGAAAUUAGACAAAGUUAUUUGAAUUAAAAUCAAUUUAAAGUAUAGUUACCUGAUUGAAAUCUAAUUAAAGUGGAGUCACUUUAUUGAAAUCAAAUUAAAUUGUAAUUACGUGCCAAAAUUAGACGAAAUAGACAAAAUAGUAUUGAAAUUUCUCUUCGGGUCUAUAUAGGACAAAUUUGUUGAGAAACUUCGUGCUUCAUGCAGCCUAAUUCCGCGUAGAAAAGAAACUAGAAGACGAAAGAGGGAAAGAAAAAUAAAAAAGUAUGAAUUGUAGUUAUCAAAGGUGGGUGAGUUUCAUUUGUAGUACCUAUAUUUUCACUUAGUGUCAAUUAAGUAAUUGUAUUUUAGUUUUAUUCAAUUAGGUAACUACACUUUAAAUUUGAUUUCAAUCGAUGACUCCGUCCUUCCACUUGGAGUGGCGGGACUUCAUGACCUGACGCUAAAAAAAUGAUGAUUGUCUUUUAUUUCAUUAAGUGUUUACUCGGUAAAAUUUUGCUAAAAUAUAAUCAAUAUUUCGACUCAAAAAGUUACGGCUGGCUCAAAAAGUUUCGAAACACAGACUAAAAAUUAUCAUGAGGCCCCUACACAGAAUUUUUUUUACAAGCGUGUUAGCAUCAAACUUCAUCGAAUCAAACAAUUUUUCAUGAUGAGAAAUAUUAUAUCUAUGGUCCUCACUCACCAUUUGAUACAUCCGAUAAUCAAUUUUUGUGUUGAAGAAGGAAAAAUCAUUUUUACCAUUAAAU
rnacentral:lncRNA from 1 species